UGUAGUUAAACACAGUGAUAACGGGAAUAAACACACCAGGGGAUUAAUUCAAGUUGCACAGGAAACUUUCUGACUUGUGAGUGCUUUACUUUGAACCCAAACAAUAUUAUAUCUUUAACCCAAAAACAAAUUCCGUCACACGUGCUGGCAGGGUCAUUGUAGUUGCAUGUCAGUGGCGCUGAAAUGUUCCAGGCAGAAGCACAGCUUGAGCUCUGGGCUAACUGCAUUAGUUGGAAACAGGAGGAAGCUGUUUCUGUACAGUUGAAGGGGAAAGGUCAAUGUGGCUAUGGGCUUAUUGCAGGGGAUUGUUGGGAUUUCACAAUCCCAUCCUCACUUCUCUGACUUGUUCCAGUGGUGGGAGGGAAACACUGGAAACUGAAACAGAGUCCUCUGGUCAUGAGUUGAACUUCUGGUCAGAAGGAGAAAGUAAUUUUGUUGCUCUUAUCUUCCUAAUACACCUGGGAGAUGUUGACACAUUUAUUUCCCAAACGCUAAAAGGAGAAAAUCUAUCCAAGAAAGCAAAAGAAAAAAGAGAAGUUCUUCUUAAGAAGAUAAAAGAUGUUAAGGCAAGUUAUCCUCAAGAAUUCCCGGAUAAAGAACUGGAAGAUGAGGAAGAGGCUGAGGGCUCCUUGCCUCCUGAUAGUGUCUCAAUAGCAUCUGACCGAUAUGAUAAAGAGGAUGAAGCACCUUCUGAUGGGAAUCAGUUUCCUCCUAUUGCAGCUCAGGAUCUUCAGUUUGUUCUGAAGGCUGGGUACCUGGAAAAACGCAGAAAAGACCACAGUUUUCUCGGCUUUGAAUGGCAGAAGCGUUGGUGUGCUAUCAGUAAGGCGGUCUUCUAUUACUAUGGAAGCGACAAAGACAAACAACAGAAAGGUGAAUUUGCCUUAGAGGGCUACACCAUCAGAAUGAAUAAUAGCCUUCGGAAGGAUGCAAAGAAAGAUUGCUGUUUUGAAAUCUCCGCUCCUGAUAAGCGCAUUUAUCAGUUUGCAGCUGCCUCUCCCAAAGAAGCAGAGGAAUGGGUACAGCAAGUCAAAUUUGUAAUUCAAGAUAUGGAAUCUAAUACUAUUCCUGAGGAGGAGGAAGAGGGAUAUGACGAUGUUGGACAAGUGAGCAGUGAACCAAUAGAUGAUAGCAUUUAUGAAGAAGUCAAAGAAGAACGUGUUCCUUCGAAGGCUGAAGUGCCCAGAAAACUAAGCCAGGAGAAAGUUACCGCUGUUUCAGAUAGCAAAAACACCGAUUAUGCGAAUUUCUAUCAAGGUUUGUGGGAUUGCACAGGAGAUGUACCUGAUGAGCUGACGUUUAAACGUGGUGACGUUAUCUACAUUCUCAGCAAGCUCUUAUGCAAGAAAUAAAUUUCCAGAAUCAAAGACAACUGUGAAUGGAGGGAGUACCAACAGGAGAUUUGCAGAGUAAAACACUUAGUGCUGAGGCCCCAGUGUCCACACUGUGGGUUUUCAAAGCGGCUUGGUGUCUGAAAAGGUCUAGCCUGGUUUUAUGAAGGAGUACAAUAGAUUUGGCUGGUGGGUAGGAGAAAUGAAGGGAACCAUUGGCUUGGUGCCUAAAGCCUACAUAAUGGAGAUGUAUGAUAUUUGAGAGGCCUGGGAGAAAUCUGCACUUGAAAUCAAGAGUGGUGUGCAGCUGCAGUUUACAGACCCGGCCUCUGAAAGCAGAAGAUUCUGCCGUACACAUUUUGUGGUUUCAGUGAACGUACUCAUAUCGUUGCCUUGUGUAUAUUAAACAUUAAAAACUGUAAUUGAUCAUAAUUCUGCGGAAAUGUUCUUCGUAGCCACUUUGUAUAGAAUUGUAAUGCUAGGAAAUGAAAUAGAUGGUAAUUAACAUAUGGGGCACGAGCAGCCAAACAGUGCCUGUUGCUCUCUUCUUAAGCAGCGCUCUGUAUAGCUACAGGUUCGUGUUCUUUCAGGGAACUUGGCUGUGUUUUCCUGUUCCUCAGAUUUAGAAAAAAUUAAACUGAACUUCAAAAGUAGAAGACUAUUAGUCAGUUCAUGCAUACAUUAACCCUUUAAUGCUCACCAUACAUUUUGUGCAGUUUCCUAGGAAAAUCAAGGGAAAUUUAUGUGUAAUAUUGCAAGUCUUCAGGCCUGCUUCCACGUGUUUUUGUAUUAUGUUUUAGCCAAUGGUUUAUUUUUCUCAUAUAUUUAGUAUUAUAUUGUUAACUAAUAUUUUGUUGCCACAAAAUGAAGGCUUAGUUCUUUUGCUGAUGUAAUAAAUCAGCCUAUGUGGUUAUAUGGACCUGAGACCAUUCUGACUUGGAGAUAGGAAUUAUAUGAAAAUUUGUAAAAAGAUAAUAUAUUAAACCCCACAGUUUUUGCUAAGUUAACAUGAACUAAAUGGCAGAUAAGAAUGAUUUUUGUCUGUGGUAGUGUUCAAUAUUUUAUCUGUACCUUAAGGGAAACUUUUACAAAGUCAAAUCUGGAUACCUUUUUCAUAUAUGGAAUUUCUGAUUUAAGUUGUGCAACAGACAUCUUCAGCUCUAUGUGGAUUAGUAACAGCUACCUGAAGUCUUUGUGUCAAAUCCAGAACUUUGUGGCUAAAAGCAUCAGUCAAAACAUGAAAGUAUGCUAAAAUCCUCUCACUUGCAUGGACAAAGGAGUUGGGCAGCUCAGAGUUAAUACUUCAAAUCCUCUUGUUUUGGAGAUGCGCUUUACUGUUCGCAUGCAAGAUCAACUUUUUCGAGUCCUCCCACACACUUGAUUUGUGAGACCCUUAAUCUGCCAAAGAGGCAGGUCAGGCCAGUCUGCGAACUGCUGAGCCUGUGCAGGUCCCCUUGUAGUUGCUUGUGCUGUUUAUGCUUCAGGCGGGCCCUGGAAACACUGUGGGUUAAAAGGUAACGUUAGUCUGAACUCAUCCUCUCAGUAAGCUAAAAUGUGGUGCUUUAUUUUAGCUAAUGUACGAUACUUGAUGUUGCGCUGGAUUCUAAUUGGAGUCAAACAGGUUGUGGAGUUUUAUUGCAAUUUUUUUAAAAAGGAGAUGGUCAUUGAAAUUGAUUCUGUAAGUUAUCAGUGAAGCAUUAAAAUGAUAGAUUAUAGUCUUCAGAUCUUUUACUACUUUAAUUUAUCAAGUGUACUUGUGAAUUGUGUACAGAAUGUGAAGCGUUAAUAUCAGGGCCAGAAAAGCUCCUUCUCACUUGUUAACCUGGCAGCAUAAUAGAUCUGCCCACUGAAACGUCUUUUUAUUAAUUAAGUAAUUCCGAAUUCCACGAACACCUACUUUCUGUGGGGGGAGGAAAUCCCCUGUUUCGUUGAGAUGAAGUGUGUAUUUGCAAAACUUUGAUUUAGGACAGGACCAACGCGGGGCUGGGUCGGGAGCGGCUCCGUGGGCAGCCGGGGCGCGGGGGAAGGGAAGAGGCUGCCCUGCGCGGCUUUCCGCGGCCCUGCGCGGCCUUGCGCUGCACUGCGCGCCCGCGGCGGUAGGUGGCAGCAAAUUUUCAUGGCAGGGUCGGAAGCCGAGCCCGUCCCCUUCCCCCUUCCGUGCGCGGCCGCCGCGUUUCCAGGAGAGGGAGUCCUUCCCCAAGCCAUGAGCCGCGGGCCCGCCGAGCGCUGCCUCUGCUGGGUGGUGGCAGUCGGAGAAAUCGCGAGUCUUUUGUCUGUAGUUCUCUUUUAGGGCUUUUCACCCCUCUUAGUACAUGGGGGGAGGUGUGUGUGUGUGUGGGGGGGGGGAAUAAACAAACUGCCUUAAUAAUUCAAAGCGUGAAGGAUGUCCUGAAACUCACUUGAAGUGUCUUGGAAUAAACCAGCAAUGGACCACAGAUGAAUUGUUUACUUUAAAUCUGUGCAAAUACCAUAACCUUUUUUGGAUAAAAAAAAUCUCCUUCCAUACUACUUGAACAAAACUCAAUGGUAGAAAAUGCUAAUUGCUUUAUUUUUGUUGUUUACUUAGGUUGCACUUGCAUUCUGUGAAUAGUAAAACAGCUCAGUUUUUGAAAGGUGAUUAUAAGUCGCAUUUUGUAUAGCGUUCUACUUGAUUAUUUGCUCUGUUCUGGAUUUGUACUAUACUGCCAUUAGAUCUUACAAUAAUGUUCUACUCUGCAAAUUUUUAAGGUUCAAAUAAAGUUUAAUUGUUUGCAAA